rnacentral:rRNA from 1 species
GAGUUUGAUCUUGGCUCAGAUUGAACGCUGGCGGCAGGCCUAACACAUGCAAGUCGAGCGGAUGAAGGGAGCUUGCUCCUGGAUUCAGCGGCGGACGGGUGAGUAAUGCCUAGGAAUCUGCCUGGUAGUGGGGGAUAACGUCCGGAAACGGGCGCUAAUACCGCAUACGUCCUGAGGGAGAAAGUGGGGGAUCUUCGGACCUCACGCUAUCAGACGAGCCUAGGUCGGAUUAGCUAGUUGGUGGGGUAAAGGCCUACCAAGGCGACGAUCCGUAACUGGUCUGAGAGGAUGAUCAGUCACACUGGAACUGAGACACGGUCCAGACUCCUACGGGAGGCAGCAGUGGGGAAUAUUGGACAAUGGGCGAAAGCCUGAUCCAGCCAUGCCGCGUGUGUGAAGAAGGUCUUCGGAUUGUAAAGCACUUUAAGUUGGGAGGAAGGGCAGUAAGUUAAUACCUUGCUGUUUUGACGUUACCAACAGAAUAAGCACCGGCUAACUUCGUGCCAGCCG